UGUACACACCGCCCGUCGCACCUACCGAUUGAAUGUUUCGGUGAAGAUUCCGGACUGUGGCUCGCGUGCUUCACGGCGCUCUUGCCGUGGGAAGUUAUCUAAACCUCAACAUUUAGAGGAAGGUGAAGUCGUAACAAGGUUUCCGUAGGUGAACCUGCGGAAGGAUCAUUA
rnacentral:rRNA from 1 species